UUUUAUAAGCUUAAUAAUUGGUAAGUGAAAAAAAAAACUGAGCAAAACUGGUAGCAGUAGCAUGCGUGGCCCCUGCGCAAGGAUGACACGCAAAAUCUUGAAGCGUUCCACAUUUUU
rnacentral:snRNA from 1 species